CAGUUUACCUCCUUCCUCCCUGUGGAAGGGAACUUUGCCUGGCACGAUCACCAUUGUCUCUGGGCUCUCCCAAGGAGCGAGAACAUGCUGCCUGAAGGCGCUUCCUCUGACUGAGAUUCUCCAGCCAGGGCCUGUGUCUGCACCAGAGCCGCUGAAAGGGAACGUCCAGUCUCGUGGCUCCGCCCCCUGACAAGCAUGAAUUGGCCCAGGGUUUCUCUGUGGCUUUGGAGGCUGUCCUGGAACUAGCUCUGUAGAGCAGGCUGGCCUAGAACUCACAGAGAUCUGCCUGCCUCUGCCUCCUGAGUCCUGGGAUUAAAAGCGUGCAUCACACCCAGUCUUACCUCAAAUUCUUCAAGUCUGCUUUUGCAGAGGCCCCAGCUGGAUUCCCAGUGUCCGAGUGGAGGCUAACAACCACCUGUAACUUCUUAAAAAUAGAAUAAAUCUUUAAAUAAAUCCCCAAAGUGUAGUGCGCAUAGUAAAAAAUGCCUUUUAGACAUGUAGAAAUAGCUCAGUCAGGAUCCUCAGGACACCCAAGGCUGCACCUGAUAACCAGAAGCCAGUGACAUCACUCACUCACGAUAACCAGACACAAGACUAGAACCUCGUGCUGCCCGCUGGACAGCAUAUGAGCAGAGGCCAAGAGCAAUGCUGGGCUCUGCACAGCUGGGGAGACGCCACCUCGAUCUGCUCUACAGCGGAAGAUCCCCCAGGAUCCUGACCCUCCAAUCAGAGACUUCUGUUAGAGACUGGCCCGGACCU